rnacentral:rRNA from 1 species
UACGAAGGGGGCUAGCGUUGCUCGGAAUCACUGGGCGUAAAGCGCACGUAGGCGGUUUGCUAAGUCAGGGGUGAAAUCCUGGAGCUCAACUCCAGAACUGCCUUUGAUACUGGGAGUCUUGAGUUCGGGAGAGGUGAGUGGAACUGCGAGUGUAGAGGUGAAAUUCGUAGAUAUUCGCAAGAACACCAGUGGCGAAGGCGGCUCACUGGCCCGAUACUGACGCUGAGGUGCGAAAGCGUGGGGAGCAAACAGG